rnacentral:lncRNA from 1 species
AUGGCAGGCUCUCUGCCCACACCACUGAGGUCCUCAUGGAACCAUGGGCUUCUAGAAGGUGGAGGGAGGUCAAGGGCACCAACAGCCCCUGGACCAGUAAGUGGGGGUUUAGGGGGUCCUGUCCUGUGUGUCUCUUUGAUUUGGGGUAGAAAUCAGCUAAGAGUGCCCACCCAGCUUCCCAGGAGUCUGCAGGUGUUACUGCCAGAGGGCACCCCUUUGUGGUGCAACAGCCACCCACUCUCCAGAGCGCCCCUUGCAAGUGGUGGCCACAGUCUCCACGGUCCCUUGGGGAAUGGCAGUAUUUGCAUCUAUGAUGUAAUAAGUUGGCUACUGAGCCCCACCAUGUACUUUUCUGGGGUGCUGGAUUUCCAGUGUGGGUUCUGCAGCCCAGCAGACAUUCUCCUGAACCUGAGGUCAACUCAACCACACAGUAAGCCACCUUGGGGCACACACACAGACCAUCUCCUCCACAGGGCUCAGCACCUCCUUGCAACAGGAUCAGGUUCUGUGUUUCCUCAGUGGCCAGCCACAAGUGGCAGCAUUUUCAGGUGCUGGGCAGGAUGGCUGAGAAAGCCAGUGAAAGGUCGGGCAAGCAGGAGCCCUGUUUCUGCAGCAGGCCGCUUCCGUGCUUGGCUGCAGUGAGAGUCUCCAGGCCUCUGCACCUCCAAGCUCCAUCCCAGCAGGGAACUGACCUCCUGGCUUCCAGCCUCCAAUGGCUGAACCCUUGUAGCAGACAGCAUUAGCCCCAUUUUACAGAUGAGGCACAGAGAGCCCAAGGAAACAGGACAGAGGGAGAAGAGCUCAAUGUGGGCCUCAGGGCUCUGUCCCUUUAGGUGUCCCAGAUGCUCAAUCACCUGAGCAUGCAGUGUCCUGCACACCCCGUCUUGUUCCCAUGUGAGACCAGGAGCCCUUAAGAAUGGCUGGUGCCUUUCCUGGUGGGUUGGGAGGGAGGAGGCACACUCUCUCCUCUGUGCACACAAUCUAUAGCUGCCUUGUCAUCAUGUCAUUCCCCUGGCAUCCUUGUCCUCUGGUCCCUCCACUGUCUGAUCAUAAGAUGCCCUGGGCCCCAUCAUUAAUCUCUACUUGGGCCAGAGGCCCAUGGCCCUGGUGGCACAGGGUCCAGGUCAGGCAGUGCCUGGCACCAGUGUGUUUUGACUGAAUAAAUGUCUGGAUCAUUCCUCGUCAUUUCAGCCCCUGUUUAGAUUUAGACAGGUGCUUCACCCCAUCAGCUGACUGUCCUGCUGCCUAGCUGACUUCAUGUAUCCCUUUAGGGCAGGGACAAGUUCUACUCGAUAAGCACAACUCUGUUGGAGAUAGUAUCAGGGCUGGGGUGCUGCUCAAGGCCCUUCUGAGCUAGCCACAGUCUCAUUCUGGUCGUUAGAAACCCUUGAGCACUUGGUGCCUGGGGGAGCAGUUGUCCAGCUGGAGAUUUCUCAAGAGUUUCCCAGGUACUUGGGAGUAUGUGGCCUGCUGUUAUGUACAGGACCCCUCCCCUGACAUCACCGGUUCCUUCCUGAGCCCCAGAGUCCCAGCUCCAACACAGUCGGUCUCACGAUGUUGGCAGUAGGGCCUCAGAUGGCACAAUCAUGAUAGGGACAUUCUAGGGAGGGGCAGGGAUGCCACUGCCCACUCAAGCACUUCCUCCCACCUUCCCCACUCCCACCUUCCCCCCUUGCUCCAUUGCAUUUCCUGGGUUGGUGAAGCUCAGAGGCCCUACUGUCUCCAGGUUCUCUGCAAACACUGUUCCCCACAGUGCCCAUACCUCACCUCUUGGUGAAGCUCUGAGCUCCUCCUUUUCCCACUGGAUGGGAUCAGUUCCUCUACUACAAGGAAGGCCCAGACUGGGUUGGGAGAGGUGAGGUUUCCUACUUCUGCCUGGAAUCUUCCCUGCCCACCCUCCCAUGUCUCUUGGGAACAAGUUUUCUUCANNNNNNNNNNNNNNNNNNNNNNNNNNNNNNNNNNNNNNNNNUCUCUUUCUUCCUCUGUUACCAGUGGGUCCUAUUUAAUUCCUCACACUACAGGUUUUGCAUUUUUGAUAUGUCCACUCUCCAUGGCAACCGAGAAAGGCUACUGUGCCUCUCUUCCUCUUCAGUGGGUUUCCUUUGACCACAGCUCUCACAUGGCCAGAGCCCAGCGCCUGAGCUCCUCUCUGAGCUGCCCCUGGAAGCAUUCCAAGUUCCUACCUCGUGUCCAGAGCUGGCCGGCUGAGCUGGUCCCUGAGCUCAGGUGAAUUUCCUUAGCUCAUGACCGAAGUGUCUUUCAAAAAGCAGGUUUACAGGGUAAGAAAGGUGUCAUUGGCGUGGCUGCAAAUGUCCAUGAUUUAGAGCUGACAGCUCCCUGUGCCAGGGUCCAGAGCUGUCAGCACCCAAGGUCUGAGCAGACAGACAGAGACGGUCAGCCAUCUGACCAUUGUGAUUGUGAUGAGCACUGCUUUGUUUUCUAAUUGAGUCAUUCAAAGCAGGCUGUCUGCCACCAAUGCUGCCAGCUCGUUGUGAGACACCCAGUGCCAGAAAGGUCUCUUAUUACCUCCCAUCGUGGGCAUGUGACCCAUCUCCUCUAAUACUUGCUAGGUCACUAUUUUGAGAUACACAUUGGGGCAGUUGGAGUAUGGCAGAAGGGGUGAGGAUGGUGGAGGCAGAGAGACCCAGGAUCAAAGCCUGGCNNNNNNNNNNNNNNUGACGUCUUUGGACAGGUCAAUGCUUUCUGUCUAUUACGUGGAUUGAAUGAUACCCAACUUCCAAGGUUACCAUGAGGACUGAAUUUUUAAAGCCCCAAACUGGGUCUUGGACAGGUCAGUCUAUCUUGGUCUUUUGGCUACCUCAUUUGAAUUAAGAAAGUGACGUGUUUGUUUCCAGCCCACCCGUGGGGUAUCUGAGAUGCUAGUGUUAGAGAAGUCCCAUCGCAGAGGUCAGGCUGAAGAUGCAAAGAAGAUGCACAGAAGGGGCUGCCUGUUUGUAUCUCAGUGCCCAGAGUAAAAGGAGAGAAUAGUGAGGAUGGCUAAGUUAGGGCUGCCCUAGCAAAAUACCACCAACUGUAUGGUAUUUAUUUUCUCAUGGUUCUGGGGAGCAGAAGUCCAAGAUCAAGAGGACAGCAGGUUUGGUGUCUUCUGAAGCAUCUAUUCCUGGCUUGCAGAUGGCAGCCUUCUCACUGUGUCCUCAUGUGGUCCUCCCUCUGUGUUGUAUGUGGCCUAAUUUCCUCUUAUAAAGAUACCUGGUCAUUGGAUUAGGGCCCACUGUCAUCACUAUCUCUUUUAAGACUGUCCCCAAAUACAAACAGUCACAUUCUGUGUUAUUAGGGUCAAUCAGUUCGGUAGCUCAGUCAUGUCCAACUCUUUGCAGCCCCAUGGAUUGCAGCAUGCCAGGC